GAUGAAGAACGUAGCGAAAUGCGAUAACUAAUGUGAAUUGCAGAAUUCAGUGAAUCAUCGAAUCUUUGAACGCACAUUGCGCCCCUUGGUAUUCCAUGGGGCAUGCCUGUUCGAGCGUCAUUUGUACCCUCAAGCUUUGCUUGGUGUUGGGUGUUUGUCCCGCGUUGCGCGUGGACUCGCCUUAAAGCGAUUGGCAGCCGGCAUAUUGGCCUUGGAGCGCAGCACAUUUUGCGCUUCUAGUCAUGAAUGUUGGCGUCCAUUAAGCCUAUACAUUUGCUCUUGACCUCGGAUCAGGUAGGGAUACCCGCUGAACUUAAGCAUAUCAAUAAGCGGAGGA
rnacentral:misc_RNA from 1 species